UUUUGAUAAUCGGUUUGGGUCCAACUUUUCUGAUGUCAGCUUAUUACAUGUGAGUAUGUUCUAGUUUCUU